AUUGAACGCUGGCGGCAUGCUUUACACAUGCAAGUCGAACGGCAGCGGGGGCUUCGGCCCGCCGGCGAGUGGCGAACGGGUGAGUAAUGCAUCGGAACGUGCCCAGUCGUGGGGGAUAACACAUCGAAAGAUGUGCUAAUACCGCAUACGUCCUGAGGGAGAAAGCGGGGGAUCUUCGGACCUCGCGCGAUUGGAGCGGCCGAUGUCGGAUUAGCUAGUUGGUGGGGUAAAAGCCCACCAAGGCGACGAUCCGUACGGGUCUGAGAGGAUGAUCCGCCACACUGGGACUGAGACACGGCCCAGACUCCUACGGGAGGCAGCAGUGGGGAAUUUUGGACAAUGGGGGCAACCCUGAUCCAGCCAUGCCGCGUGAGUGAAGAAGG
rnacentral:rRNA from 1 species